rnacentral:snRNA from 1 species
GUCUCUUCCCCUGGCUAUGACAUCUGUCACCCCAUUGAUCUCCAGGGUUGAUUCAGCUGAUCUGGCUGGGUAGGCAGGUGUCCCCUUCCCCCCUCACCACUCCAUGUGCAUUCUUCCCGAAGCUGUGUGUUGGGUCAAAGAGGAUGACCUUCCCCUGAAUAGAGAAGGACUAGUCAGGUAUACAAGUAGCUGUGCUCCCCUGCUAAAACCUUCAAAACAAGUUCUCAACUUGCAAUUUAUCACGAGGUACGAUGCCAUCAUCAUCCAGGGAGACUUGCACUUGGCCUUGUUAUGUU